CGUAGGGUGCGAGCGUUAAUCGGAAUUACUGGGCGUAAAGCGUGCGCAGGCGGUUGUGUAAGACAGAUGUGAAAUCCCCGGGCUCAACCUGGGAACUGCGUUUGUGACUGCACGGCUAGAGUACGGCAGAGGGGGGUGGAAUUCCUGGUGUAGCAGUGAAAUGCGUAGAUAUCAGGAGGAACAUCGAUGGCGAAGGCAGCCCCCUGGGCCGAUACUGACGCUCAUGCACGAAAGCGUGGGGAGCAAACAGGAUUAGAUACCCUGGUAGUCCACGCCCUAAACGAUGUCGACUAGGUGUUCGGGAAGGAGACUUCUUGAGUACCGCAGCUAACGCGUGAAGUCGACCGCCUGGGGAGUACGGUCGCAAGAUUA
rnacentral:rRNA from 1 species